ACGCUGGCGGUGCGCCUUAUGCAUGCAAGUCGAGCGAAGCUUUUCAGUAGUUUACUACAGAAAAUGACUGAGCGGCGAACGGGUGAGUAACGCGUGAGCAACCUACCUUAGUUACUGGGAUAGCCCGAGGAAACUCGGAUUAAUACCGGAUAUUCUUAUUUAAUCACAUGAUUUUUUAAGGAAAGGUCAGCCGAACUAAGAUGGGCUCGCGUUCUAUCAGCUAGUUGGUAGGGUAAUGGCCUACCAAGGCUACGACGGAUAGCUGGUCUGAGAGGACGAUCAGCCACACUGGGACUGAGACACGGCCCAGACUCCUACGGGAGGCUGCAGCAGGGAAUAUUGCGCAAUGAGCGAAAGCUUGACGCAGCGACACCGCGUGUGGGAUGACGGAUCUAGGUUUGUAAACCACUUUCAGGAGGGAAGAAAAUGACGGUACCUCCACAAGAAGCCCCGGCCAACUACGUGCCAGCAGCCGCGGUAAUACGUAGGGGGCGAGCGUUGUCCGGAUUUAUUGGGCGUAAAGAGCUCGUAGGCGGUUCAACAAGUCGGUCGUGAAAGUUCAGGGCUCAACCCUGAAAUGUCGAUCGAUACUGUUGUGACUAGGAUACGGUAGAGGUGAGUGGAAUUCCGAGUGUAGCGGUGAAAUGCGUAGAUAUUCGGAGGAACACCAAUUGCGAAGGCAGCUCACUGGGCCGCUAUCGACGCUGAGGAGCGAAAGCUAGGGGAGCAAACAGGAUUAGAUACCCUGGUAGUCCUAGCUGUAAACGAUGGAUACUAGACGUAGGAAUUGGAUUAACGAUUUCUGUGUCGUAGCUAACGCGUUAAGUA
rnacentral:rRNA from 1 species